UACGAAGGGGGCUAGCGUUGUUCGGAAUUACUGGGCGUAAAGCGCGCGCAGGCGGUCUUCCAAGUCAGUGGUGAAAGCCUGGAGCUCAACUCCAGAACUGCCAUUGAAACUGUUAGACUUGAGUACGAGAGAGGUGAGUGGAAUUCCCAGUGUAGAGGUGAAAUUCGUAGAUAUUGGGAAGAACGCCAGUGGCGAAGGCGGCUCACUGGCUCGUAACUGACGCUCAGGCGCGACAGCGUGGGGAUCAAACAGG
rnacentral:rRNA from 1 species